CAACGUAGGUAAUCUACCUUCGGGUGGGGAAUAACCCAGGGGAAACUUGGGCUAACACCGCAUAAUGCAGCGGCACCACAUGGUGACAGUUGUUAAAGCGGGGGAUCUUAGGACCUCGCGCCUGAAGAGGAGCCUGCGGCGGAUUAGCUAGUUGGUGAGGUAACGGCUCACCAAGGUAACGAUCCGUAGCCGGCCUGAGAGGGCGGUCGGCCACACUGACACUGACAUACGGGUCAG
rnacentral:rRNA from 1 species